rnacentral:rRNA from 1 species
GUGCCAGCCGCCGCGGUAAUACGUAGGUGGCGAGCGUUGUCCGGAAUCAUUGGGCGUAAAGAGCGCGUAGGUGGUUUGUCAGGUCUGAUGUGAAAUCCUGGGGCUCAACUCCAGAACUGCAUCGGAAACCGGCUUACUAGAGUCUGGGAGAGGAGAGUGGAAUUCCUGGUGUAGCGGUGAAAUGCGUAGAUAUCAGGAGGAACACCAGUAGCGAAGGCGGCUCUCUGGAACAGUACUGACGCUGAGGCGCGAAAGCUAGGGGAGCGAACAGGAUUAGAUACCCGCGUAGUCC